UCUCCUACAUACAUCCAUGCCUUCUUACUUCGUAUUUUAUUUUUCACAGCCUGCAACUGAAUUUUAUUCGUUUUUGAGCGGCCGUGCCUGCACUGAUUUUUUUGUUAAAGGUUCAACAACUUCAAGUAUGCGUUUUCAGCAGUGAGCAAUGAAGUAUGCGUGUAGAUGUCGUACAUGGUUUGCAGCAAUACGAGUUUAUCGGUAGUACGAGUCUACCAAUACGAAACGCAAAAAUUGGCCCGGACUUUAUCUCGGCCCGAUCUGGUUUGCAGCAGCCCGAAGUGGGAAAUAGGUCAUCGGCCUAGUUCACGGAGAGGCCCACAGCGUUCGUUCGCUUCUUUAUGGUCCGGGGGCCUGGCCGACCCAUCUCCUCGGCCUGGUCCCUACUGUCCCGGCCCGUUAAGCUCGAGCGGCAGCCGCAGACGUGGCCAGUUGGACAAGUUGUCCUACCGUAGGCUGUCCCGUUUCAGCCCAGUUCUUCUCUCGAGCGAGUUUUCUUUCCAGCCCGAGCGAUACAGAGAAGAGCCAUUUCAGUCUAAAAUUUCAGUCUAACAAAACACAGAGCGCCAUUGGAGGCGCGGAGGAGGCGAAUAAUAGAGGAGGCGGGGAGGAUGCUGAUUGGGAGAAACCGAGAGGAGUAGUAGGCGCUCGGGAUGGUGGGGUCGAAGGAGCGGGCUCCGGAGGAGAGCCGAUGCCGGUUUAGGAGGACAGGAGGCCGAGGGAGAGGAGGAGGUGCGGGUGCGUGUACGGGAAUAGGCGGAGGAGAUCGGGGAACAGCAGAUCGAUCGCACGCCCUGCAAGUGACCACAGAAAGCCACAGCCUUGAAGAUCUGCUCGAGUUACACCCUGUCCGCCUGGAAAGAAACAAAUUAUUCUGUUUGACAAUAUCUUCCUUGUUCAGAUUCUUAAUAAUUUUUACAUUUACCCGGUCGAACUAUCUACCAGCCUAUUGCAUAUGCAAGUUUUAUGUUUUACCUUUUUAGGGGAUAAUGCCAAUUCUAUUAUGUAGACAAAUUUUGACUCAGUCUCCAGUUUAAUACAAUGCAUGCGUGAGAAACAACACCAUAUAGUUUUGGAUGUAUAUAUGUGUGUGAACCUAUGGCUCUCUGGCUCUGAUAUUUGUAUGGUCCUACUGAGAUGUCGUAUUUGACUUAUACUUUACGUUUUCUUUUCUAUUUCAUCUUAA